UGGGGAAUAUUGCACAAUGGGCGCAAGCCUGAUGCAGCCAUGCCGCGUGUGUGAAGAAGGCCUUCGGGUUGUAAAGUACUUUCAGCGGGGAGGAAGGGAGUAAAGUUAAUACCUUUGCUCAUUGACGUUACCCGCAGAAGAAGCACCGGCUAACUCCGUGCCAGCAGCCGCGGUAAUACGGAGGGUGCAAGCGUUAAUCGGAAUUACUGGGCGUAAAGCGCACGCAGGCGGUCUGUCAAGUCGGAUGUGAAAUCCCCGGGCUCAACCUGGGAACUGCAUUCGAAACUGGCAGGCUAGAGUCUUGUAGAGGGGGGUAGAAUUCCAGGUGUAGCGGUGAAAUGCGUAGAGAUCUGGAGGAAUACCGGUGGCGAAGGCGGCCCCCUGGACAAAGACUAACGCUCAGGUGCGAAAGCGUGGGGAGCAAACAGG
rnacentral:rRNA from 1 species